rnacentral:lncRNA from 1 species
GUUUUGUACCUCAUAUGUUCACAGGGUGGUGCCCAGUGCCCAGUGCCCAGCACAGUGUCUGACUCACUAGUAACCAGAUAAAGACUUACAGGAACCCUGCAACCUGAUAACUCAACACUGGUACAUGAAACCAGGAAAACAAUCCAGAAAGGCAGACAAGACUCCCAUUUUGAGAUGUCUUAGGAUCCAGAGUUACACUGUUCAGUACAAUUGUCACUAGCCACAAGAGACCAUUCAAAUUUAAAUUCACUAAAUUAAGAAGAAUGGUAGAAUCUGUUUUUCAACGAUGUCAGUCUUAUUGCCAGUGCUCAGUGGUCACACUGGUUGUAGCUUUCUAGUUCCCAUCAUCAAAGCUAGUUCCAAAGGGAGAGGUUUUUGUUUCUGAUAAUUAUGGUGAGCUUUAUCUAUUCCUAUACCCUUGUGAGAGCACUGGGAUUCACUGUUUCUGUAACAGUGACUUGGAACUCAUAUAGCUUGGUCAAUGACAAGUCUGGUAUUGAAUCCAAUUACUCUGAUGCCACAGAUUGUUGUGGAUUAAUGGGAUGUGGACAUACUACGGAUUUCCUUACAACGUACCAGGGUAGGAAACAAACAACCAAAACAUCAAAGUUCUCUUUUGGCUUCCUGUGUGAAUACAGUCAAUUAUGAAGACAGAAUGGAAGCACCAGUGUGGUAAGUAUCUAUCUUUUUUCUCCUACCUAAAACCCUUUUCCUUUGGGCACGUAUUUCUUGCUGUGUGGGGCUUGGUGAAAUGUGGAGCUUAAUUCCUUUUUGGAAGCUGAAAAAGUAAGAUGACUAUUUUUCCUCCUUUAUCUUGCAGCUGGGAGAUGGGUUUAUGAGUAGCCUUGACUAAUCCAAUAAGUCAUCAAAGGGAAUUUUAGAGACACAGAGGGGUGGGACAGCCAAUCCUGUCCCUUAGGCCACUCAGCUGGUAGAAGCAGAAACAGACACCCAUAGCUAAACACUGAAUCGAACUAGAAUCCAGUUGCAGAGAAGGAGGAGUGAUGAGCAAAGGGGUCCAGACCAGGAUAUUUCUACUGCAGUGGCAUCUUGCUUUGCCAGGUGGUGGCUACACCCUAUGAGCCUGGCUUCAGGUGUGCAGAAGUGACCCCUUAUAAAGUAGAGGAGAGGCUGGCUUGCUCUCUUGGCUUGUGGUAAGAUCAUCGGAAGGGCAGAGACUGCAUCUUCUGUAGCAGGAAGACCUCAGCGGUUAUUUAUUAUCAUUUGUGUAAGAGCUUCCCUAAUAAAUACCUGUUU